rnacentral:rRNA from 1 species
AUGAACGCUGGCGGCGUGCUUAAUACAUGCAAGUCGAACGGAGACAGUAGUAAUAUUGUCUUAGUGGCGAACGGGUGAGUAACGCGUUGGUGACCUGCCCCGAAGAGGGGGAUAACAGUUCGAAAGGACUGCUAAUACCCCAUGUGGUCAUUUGGAUUAGAUGCCUUAUGACAAAACGGAUUUAUUCGCUUCGGGAGGGGCCUGCGUCCCAUCAGCUAGUUGGUAAGGUAAUGGCUUACCAAGGCGAUGACGGGUAGGGGACCUGAGAGGGUGGCCCCCCACAAUGGAACUGAAACACGGUCCAUACACCUACGGGUGGCAGCAGUAGGGAAUAUUGGUAAUGUGCGAAAGCGCGAACCAGCAACGCCGCGUGUGCGAUGACGGCCUUCGGGUUGUAAAGCACUUUUUAAGAGGAUGAGGAAGGACAGUACUCUUAGAAUAAGCCUCGGCUAACUACGU